UAUAUAUAAUAAGGGUAAUAAACAAGAUAAAGGACCAACAAAAGCUUCUGAAGAGCAACCUUAUGAGGUUUGAAAUCUUUUUCUGUCAUGCUGACUAAAUGUCAGGGGCUAUUGAUGAUGAUAAUGAUAUGUUCCUGUGUGAAAUGUUCCAUGAUAAUUUAAAUCAGAGUUGUGUCACAUACAUAAGAGUGAUUUUGCAUAUUUCAGUGGUCUUUAUCAGCAGUAUUUAAGAAGGUGGAUGGAGGUGGGCACUGCCACAGACAAAGCAUCUCAACUUAGAUCCAAACAACUGGGACAAUGAGACACUGUGCUGUCCUCUAUAUGUGCCUGCUUCUCGUUGUUGUUCAGAGCACACCUGAACAGACCACUAUAAGCACAACAGUUACUGCAUCCUCACACAAUAUCUACGAAAAUAUGACCGACUCAAACAUCACUACCACGUCAUCGACUCAUAUUACCAGCCCUUCUCCGAACCAUCAAUCCCAGAGCUCCUGGAUCCCUUUACCACACCCCACCACAUCCCAACCUCUGUUUACCAGACCUGUGGUCACAACCAGCACCAUAGCAAAGCCACCGCUGACUCCCAGUCCAAGCCCUGGCUCCUCCAACCAUCCUCACGGCAGUGCUUCAGCCCAGUAUGUCCACUUUGGAUUUCUGCUGAUCUCUCUGAUGUUUCUUGUCAUAGUGGAUCUUUAAUGCCGACACACAAAGUGUCAAAUAAUGCUUUACCUGCAUUAACUCUCCUUAACUUCAAGAUCUAUUAAUCAUUCUUCAGUUAUUUUUGUAGUUAGUAGUAAGGAAAUGUUUUUCUGUGGAACUAAUGUCUAUUUUACUAUAUACAUAACUCACAAAUAUUGUGUUACACAAUGCUGAUCUUGUCAGUCCAUAACAAUGCCAUACAUUAUCUUAUGAGAAAUAUUCUUAACACAGCUCAGUUUAAUGUUCUUCUAGGUCUAAUACAGAGUGAUAAUAAUGUUUGAGCAUUCCAGUCAUGCCAUUUAAUGUGUCCUACUUUCAUACAGUACCACUUUCACUGAUUUGGGCUUAAUAAAGAAAAAUCUUGAUCUAGGAUUUAAAUGUGU
ensembl:lncRNA